GCCACCUCAAGCCUUUUUUCACACCACUCCUCACGCAGAGCCGGGGGGACAAGGUGCCCAUUGUUACUCUCUUUCAAAUUUCUCCUUUGCAGGAGUGCUCACAAAACCUGUGGCAACAGUUAGGAUGAUGGUGUCCUGGAAAAACGAUGCUCACCACACACAGUUAAUGCGUCACCUCAGGUGUUGUGUCCUUGGUGUUUAGGGCCCCUCCAUUUGUCUGGGUCCUGCUGUUUUCUCAGACUUUAGAGGCAGGAAAUGACAAUAGAGACAGUAUCAGAAUAAAAAAAAUGAGAAGAGACUUGCAGGACAUCCACUAUUAAACUACUAUUGCAUCCUGAACUGUUGUUUGAAAAGGAAGUUUGAAAGGCAGCAUUAGAAGAAAUACUUUUGGACAGCACUCAAACUUGCAAAGUACAAUUAGAACAAGUAGACAAAGGAGCCAAGAGGAGGUAAAAUUCUGUCUUUCAUCUGGUUAAGUUGGGAAAAAGCUAUAUGGAUACUUACCUGGAUAGACUCAAUGAUCCUUGUGGGUCCCUUCCAGCUCAGAAUAUUGUGUGAUUCUGUGAUGUCUUCAGCACAGGUAAAUUCUGCCCUGCAGUGGAGGGCAUGUCCCAGGCUUAUACAGUGCCCAUUUCCCACCUAGGGCACUGUGCACGGGGCUAAUUACAUCCUGAAUAUAUAACACCAUUUUGCCAGUGUCAGAGGAGAUGGAAUUUCUGGGAAAUCCUUUAAACUACUAACUCUCAAUCUGCUGUUCCCAAUUAUCUCUCAGCAAGAGAGCCAAGAGGAGCCAAGACAAUCAAGCAAACACAACCUACAGCAGUGGUAAGAAACACAGCGCUGUGAAUUCAGCCAGGUCCCAGCAAAAUGCCCUGCUCCAUGCUGGAUGGGUCUGUGGGCAUCCAGUGAUCAGCACCUUUUCUCCCCCUUACUGCUUAAACAAUGAAAUAGAACUCAAAGACUCAAAAGAAAAGGCACCAAGAAUGCCAUGAAUCAAGCAGGUAAAAACCAAGGCACUGUGGACAAGCAAGCUGUAGUGAAGUCCCAGGAGCACAGUCCAGCUCCCACAGAGGCUGAAAUGGGCCCAGGUGUUAUUUUGUUAAAUUACCUGCAUGUAGUUCUCUUCACAGGAGCACAUCAAUUGGACCUAUUUCAGGAAUGCCUCCUCAAGUACUGUCCUUUCACUGUGCUGCUGCCUGUGUCUGAGGACCAAUUUAGUCCUAAGGAUUUCCAGGAAGUGGCCCUUGCCUCUAAUUUUCCUUAGAGUAUUCUGAAGAAUGGUCAUCCAUCUUGCCAUAAGGAAUCUCGCUGUUCUUGCUCUUUCCACCUACUGCUCCCUAAUUUUAAAUGUCACUCCAUUAACUUUUGCAGUAUAUACAGAACACCAGGGUGUGGUGGCUUCACAGCUAAUUAACCAUGAAACAUCCCUGGUGUGGGUUUUCAGGGGGACACACAGGCAUUUGGUUCCUAAGAGCCCCUCAAGGAGGAGUGUGCUGGGCAGUCUGGGUCAGGAAAAAGGCCCAGCUGUACCUGGCUGUGAAUCCUUUGCUCUGCUCCCAGUUUACACCCCCUGGUAGUCACAGACAGUUCUAUCAUGUUCUCCCACGCUUCCCAGUUGUCACAUAACAGAGUGAUGCAUAUUUAGUUCAUUAAUUUUGUUCCAUAAAUCAGCCCCUCCAGCUCUUUAAUCAUUUACUGACUGCUUAACAAAUGCAUUCAGAUGGAGAGACACUAAUGCUAGCAACAGCAAGACUUUUUAAGAGAAAUAAAAGCUUUGUGUAGACAAGACACAAACCUGCCAAUCUUGUACCCUUCAAUUGGAUGGGUUUUUUUUCCAGCAGAAAAUCUAUGCUAAAAUAUUUAUCAGCCUGCUAAAAGAUCAUCAUUGAAUUUUUCUUGCAAUUAGGGAAACACAAACAGUUAAAAUAGAAUAAAAUAUGGGCUUCAUCUGAAAUGUAUUCUUCUUACUGUCAAAAAGGUAACAACAGGAUAAUUAUUUUAUUUGAACUAAAAAUUGAAAAUGAAGGUCUAGCUUUUCAUAAAAUGGAAAAAAGAUUUUAAAAUUCAAAUGGGAAGCGAAAUAAACAUAAUUUCACGUCUGAAAAAAUUGUUAUAUGAAAAUUCAUCUAUAUGGACAUUAAAAUGCACGUCAUAAUUUCAAAGAAGCAACAAAAUGUGACCUAGAUUUUAUGUUUAAUAUUUCCUAUUUGUAAUUUGUCAGGGAAAAGUAAAAGGCUUUAGAGGGCAUAAAAGCAUGGUCAAGAAGAACCAGAGGAGAGGGUUUUUUAAAUUCUGUACAAGGAAGUAUUGAUGACUUUAAUAUAGAGAAUAAAUACUCAACUAGAAAGGACUUCAGUACUCCUUCAAACCAUCUGCUCUCUGUUACAGACAAUCCAUGCUCUUUAAUAUCUUUGGAAAAAUUUAUUGAGCCCCAUUUAAAAUGAUGGCAGCUUAUCUACCAUUCCUCCUCCCUCCAUGUUCUCUCAGCCCACUGACCAAGGACAUCCUUCCAAAGUGUGUUCUAAUCCUCUGAUUUACAAUCUAAAUUUAUUUAAGUUAUUUACAACCUACUGUAAUUUUUGUUCAGUUGAUUUUGGCUCAGCACUGUCCUUCAGCUUAAACGUCUCUGUGACUAUUUAUCUUCUUAAGUACAUUUAAAGAGCAACAACACAGGCCUGUGUUUUGCUAAGCAAAACGUGGGGGUUCUGAAUUCUCUUCCUGUAACAGAGUUCUUCUUUCUCCUGACCACCCCAGCAGUGCUUUCUCUGUACCUGUUCCAGCUUUGAACUUAGGAAAUAGCAAUCUUACAAGGCUCACCUCAAAUACAGUAGUAUGGAAAGAAGAAUUCUCUUCUUGCUUCUCCUGCACAACAUCCUAGACCAUAAUCUGAUAGUGACUAAUGUAAUUUGGCUUGCUAACAGAUUUCUUUUUUUUUAGGGUCUGCCAAGAGACAUAGUGUAACAAAAUGCAGGUUCCUAUCUGGCAAUGUUUACUCAUCUGGGGCAUUCCAAUUAUUUCAUUAUUGGUGGUCACAGCACAGUCACAGACAGACCAUAUCUUUGGGAUAGACACCAGAGGAAAGAUUCAAUUUUUUAAAACAUAAUGGAGAAAAAUAAUGGAUGCUGCAGAGAUAACAGUGUAAAACAACUGAAUUUACCCUUGUAACAGAAAACUAAUGCUCAGAGGUGAAGAUACAAGAAUUGUAGUCUUAAUUAAGAAGCAAAGACACUUCUUUGCAUGGGUCCUGAAGGAUUGGUCAGCAAAGACCCUGCUUCAAUACCAUUUAGGAUAUGUAAUUUAAGAUAUACAAUCUUUGGUUGCGAGGCGAUA